GGGGAGAACUGUAUGGAGCUGCACACUGGAGGUGGGCAGGGCUGGAAUGAUGUGGCCUGUGCAGAGCUGAGGUUCUAUGUGUGUUCUAUGGAGACAAGAUCUGGUUUAGCAUCAUUGCCAAGUCAGAAGAAAUCACAUGAGAGAGAGCUGGUUGAAGAGGUGAGUAUUUAUGACGUCCUGUGGGAGACCAGUGAGAGAGUAGCAGAUGAGAUCCUC